rnacentral:lncRNA from 1 species
GUCUCUUGCUCCAGCCAGAGCUCGAGGUUAGCUCUUCACUGCCCUGUGUCUUCUUUCCAAGGGUCUCGGUGAUUCGGCCACAGCCUCAGCCUCCAUCACGCGGUGAACUGAUGGUGCUGGAAGAUUCAUAGACUCCAGGACAUUCCUGAAGCCGAGAAAAGGUUAAGUAGGGUCUGGCCUGGAAUACUCUCCUAGAUGAAGAUAGCCCAACCAUGAGCCACCUUCGAAGCAGAUGAGAUGAAAUUAAAGCUCUUCAACUCCUAAAGGCCCAGAGACUAUCACAAAAGAGGUCAGAAAUCCUGAAGGUCACUUUCUGACAAACUCAGGAACCCCAGGUUUAUCUUGGAGCCUCAAGAGGAGAUAAAUUCACCCAACUCAGGCUGGAGUGCAGUGGAAUGAUCUUGGCUCACUUCCGUCUCCGCCUUCCAGUUUCAAGUGAUUCUCCUGCCUCAGCCUACUGAGUAGUUGGGAUUACAGGUGCCUGCCACCACACCCAGCUAAUUUUUGUAUUUUUAGUAAAGAUGGGGUUUCACCAUGUUGGCCAGGCUGGUCUCAAACUCCUGACGUCAUGAUCUGCCCGCUUCAGUCUCCCAAAGUGUGAUUACAGAGUUUUGCUCUUGGUGCCCAGGCUGGAGUGCAUUGGCACGAUCUCUGGCUCACUGUGACCUCUGCCUCCCAGAUUCAAGUGAUUCUCCUGCCUCAGCCUCCUGAGUAGCUGGGAUUACGGGCAUGUGCCCCCAUGCCUGGCUAAUUUUGAAUUUUUAGUAGAAACAGGGUUUCUCCAUGUUGGUCAGGCUGGUCUUGAACUGCCAACCUCAGGUGAUCUGCCCACUUUGGCCUCCCAAAGUGCUGGGAUUACAGGCAUGAGCCACCGAGCCUGGCCUGAUUGUACUUUUAUAUAAUAAAAUGCAGUACAUUUAUAAAUUUUAGAUUAUGUGUGAAGUUAAUAGUUUAAUUCAACAUUUUUAACAUGUUAAAUACUAUUGUGCAUUCAAUGAAGCGUUAUUAUGCCACAAACUUUAACCUCUUUCACCUUACUCAAGGGUAUAGGUAAAAGAUGGUAACAAUAUACUGUUUAGUAAGAUAAUAGAUUAACAUCUCUAGUGAUUUUUUUUUUUUGCCAGUGGCUUUCAACUGCAAAUAAGUUAAAGAAUAUUGUUUCUGUAGGUAAAUUUUUAUUCUGUUUUUAAUCAUUUAAAUUUAUUUUAAUUUUGGUGGCUGCAUGAGUAUCUAUGCAAUAUAUGGCAUGUUUUAAUACAGGAAUACAAUAUAUAAUAAUAAUAUCAGCAUUAAGUGAGGCAUCCUUCACCUGUAGCAUUUAUCCUAUGUUUUAUAAUCCAAUUCUACACUUUUUUUUAAAUUUAAAAUGUACAAUUAAAUUGUUAUUUACUACAGGGUUAUUUUUAUGGUCAUAAUAAAAAUUAUAUAUGAGUAUAAAUAAAA